GUCUCUGUGGCACAAUUGGUUAGCGCAUUCAGCUGUUAAUUGAAAGGUUGGUGGUUCAAGCCCAUGCGGGGAUG
rfam:Alligator sinensis unplaced genomic scaffold scaffold448_1, whole genome shotgun sequence